rnacentral:rRNA from 1 species
UAGGGAAUAUUGGGGCAAUGGGGCGCAAGCCUGACCCAGCAACGCCGCGUGAGGGAAGAAGGUUUUCGGAUUGUAAACCUCUGUCCUAUGUGACGAAGGAAGUGACGGUAGCAUAGGAGGAAGCCCCGGCUAACUACGUGCCAGCAGCCGCGGUAAUACGUAGGGGGCAAGCGUUAUCCGGAUUUACUGGGUGUAAAGGGAGCGUAGACGGCCAGGUAAGUCAGGUGUGAAAGCCCGGGGCUCAACCCCGGGACUGCACUUGAAACUAUCUGGCUAGAGUGUCGGAGAGGUAAGUGGAAUUCCUAGUGUAGCGGUGAAAUGCGUAGAUAUUAGGAGGAACACCAGUGGCGAAGGCGACUUACUGGACGAUAACUGACGUUGAGGCUCGAAAGCGUGGGGAGCAAACAGGAUUAGAUACCCUGGUAGU